CUUGGGUGUGAAAAAUAGCUGAAAUGCCGUAGUAAAUAAAUUAAUCCACCGAAUUUCUCAUUUCCUCCCAUCGCCGAUCACCUUCUUCGUCUCGAUCGUCGCCGGCUACUGAAUCGAUCGCGUGUUUCUAGGUAUGGAACUGAAACCAACAGUUGCUUUGAGAGCACUCCUAGCAGGUGGAAUUGCUGUUUUUGCAAAAGUUGGUACCGCCAUGAAGGCCGCUGGUGGCUUAAAAGUAGGUGCCGCUGCAGCUGCUGUAUCCGCUGCCGCAACAGCAGCAGUCUCAGGAGCCAAACAAGAAAGUGAAGCACCCAAACCAAAGUAGCAACUUCCCCAUUCCUUACCUUUCAGAAUAAAGAGAAUAUGACUUAGAGUGAUGUACUCAUGCCAAGAAACCUACUAGCAAAGUGGAUGGUCAAAACUGACCCUGUGUUGCUUUCCAACUUGUUUUGGGUUUACACGUGAAAAUUUUGAUUAUUGGAUCACGAUCCAACCAUUUAAAGAAUCACCAUUUUGUGGCUGCAUUCUGAUAUGUACCCUCAAAAAUGUUGCGUAGAAUCAAGUUCUGCAUGGAAUUUUUCUGUCA